rnacentral:sRNA from 1 species
CACACACACACACACACACACACACACACACACGGACAUGCACACACAGUUUUUAAAAAUAUCCUAAAACAAGGUCAGUGUAUAGUAUAAUAACCUUUAUGAUUCAGUGCCCAAGACAUGAAAAUUAAUCAAAAUCACUCUUGUAAUGUCAAGGCAAGAGAUGACAAAAUAGCAAAAAGAGAAAAAAAAGGAUUCUUCUUGGAGUACAAAACAUGAGCUUAGAUUGAAAUUUUAUUGUAUAAAACUAUGAGAAGAAGAUUAAACUAUUUGGCUUGUGAUAGAACAGUGAGGGAGAAAGGAAAUGUUAGCAUGCCCAAGUUGUUUCCAUUUGGAAAAAUCCACCAGAAUAGAGAGCCCUGUGAUGCCGACUAUCUUGCCUUCUCUAAUCUCUUGCCUUCUUCUCACAGUCUCUGGAGUUUUAUGGCAUCUUUGGCUAAGGGGCCUGUAGCUUCCAAGUGGGCAGGACCUGUCCUUGUUAUGAGGAGAUACAGAAGUGAUAUUGCAAUCAUUUCUUAUUGCCUGAACACAGGAAUUAUACAACCUCACCAGGGCUCUGCCAGCUCUUAAGAACUCUCUUCCCUCUAAAGCACAUGGAGUUUCCUGUGACGGAGACACUGUGAUAUUUAAGUAAUGACUUAAACUGCUGUUAGUGUAACAAACAAGGUUACAACAAACGUGGUGAUAGCCACCCAUAAGGGCACGCGUGGCAGGACCUCUUCUCACAAAAUACUCCUGUUGCAGUUAGCAGGAAAACCCCAGCUCUUUCUAUUACAAAAGCCAGUAUGUUUGACCAGAAACAGGAUGUGAGAGCUACAGUGAGCAAAGUAGAAAAAGGACUAAAAUAGAAAUUAGGACCUUAAGGCUGGAGGCAUAAACUCAGGAUCACCACAGGAGGGUUGGCUGUAGCCUGAGAGCUGAGUCAGGAAAGGGAGGAGAGGAGUUUACAUAGGCACAAAGGCCAUGGCUGGAGAGACAGUGGAAGAGAACACAGUGACUCAUAAACUGUGACCUCUCCAAGCCCCACUUAACUGGACUUUGGAUGAUGACAAAUGAUGACUUUGUCAUUGUGACAACUGCUCUGUUCUUUCACAAAGGCUGCAUUCCAUUAAUGUACCAAACAUUUGUCAAGAAGCUGGUAAUGGUACGCCUGCCCUGCAGUCCACAUUCUGCUCAUGGAGAGAGAUGUAGGCAAACUCCAUCAGAAAUGACAUGUGAGGACUUAGGUGUCUCCACCAUGGGACAGAAACAAAUACAGUCAUCUCAAUUCCAUUCUUCUCUCUUCAGCCUUCACACUAUUUCUCUUAAGUUGGCAGUUAAUCGCAGAGGGAGCAUAGGUUAAGACUAUCAGGGGUAUACAUGAUUAGGCUCCAAACACAUUUGCUAUAAGAAGUGUUAUUCUUUGGACUUUGGAACCUGCCCUAAACUCCAGCAGAACACUCUAUAAAAGCAGCUUCUGGUCUGGAGAGCAUCAGGUGCUUAACUCUGCUACUUGGUUGGGAACUGAAGCCAUGGCUUUCAAUGCAUAGGCUGCAUGGAAGGAAGCACCACCCAGAGCCCCACAAGGUGCCAGACUUGAACCUAGAACUGGCCUGGGACUGGGUAAUGGAUAAUUUUGAGGCCCUGAGCCAUCACUCCUGCCAGCACCCCUGGUGCUGUGGACCUGGGAAACCCAGCACAGCCUCACUGAUGGAUGAAGCUGCAUUUGGGGGUGAGAGGGGACAGAAACGCUGCAGAGAGCCACAUGCUGAGGAGCCAAUGGAUGAAACUGCAGAGCGACUUUGGGGUCAUCAAGAUGUAGGAGCCACUUCCAGGAGAAAGGUUCAAUGGACUUUGGACCAGCUGAAAGGUGACUACACCCACAGCAGUGGAGAGAUGCUUGCCCCACAUGAAUCCUGGAGCCAAGGGGGCUCCCAGAAACGACUCAAAACUGAGACUGGCAUGAGAGAGGAAUCAGGAAAGGAAAGACACCCAAGCAUUGUGGACAGCAUACGCCUUGAGAUCCUUCAAUAUAUUUGGGAGGCUCCAGAAAAACAUGGACCAAGAGCUUCAUGCUGCCUCUGAGGGCUUAAAGACUGUGCCCUAUAUGCCCUGGAGCUUUGAAGUCUCUUUAUUUUGUCCUCUUGACUGUUCAGUUGAUGUGUUAUGGAUAUUUUCUUAAAUCCAUGUAGAAUCAUUACAUUCUGAUGGAAACUGUACAUAAUUAAAAUCUUUCCUCCCCA